rnacentral:rRNA from 1 species
CCGGCGCGGGUGAGUAACACGUAUCCAACCUGCCGUCUACUCUUGGCCAGCCUUCUGAAAGGAAGAUUAAUCCAGGAUGGCAUCAUGAGUUCACAUGUCCGCAUGAUUAAAGGUAUUUUCCGGUAGACGAUGGGGAUGCGUUCCAUUAGAUAGUAGGCGGGGUAACGGCCCACCUAGUCAACGAUGGAUAGGGGUUCUGAGAGGAAGGUCCCCCACAUUGGAACUGAGACACGGUCCAA